GUUGAAUCAUUGCCUUAACUGCAUAGGUUAAUAGCUCACCUGAUAAUGGCCUACACAUUUUCUGAGGCCUGGAGGGCCAGUUCUGACUAACAAGGAUUCAUGAGGCACAUUCCAUGGAGCAUUCCAGUGUGAACUCUGGAUGGAAGAACGACACCUCUGUGGGAUGAAUACUGCGCAGAUUGGAGACAGUGCACACUGAAGCUAGGAACACAGCUGCACACAGCAGCUCAUGAGUACACGCACGCAGGAACACACAUACCAGCAGGUGUCGGAGGAAGGAGGGUGAAGGUUUCAUCUUCAGGCAUCUGGAAGGCUUCAUGACGAGAGUAAAUAAAGGGAGACGAGAGAAAUGUACACAGGCAGGGUGAACCCACAGGCAAGAGAGCAGAGCAGUGGAUAUGGCCAGAAGAAAGAAGGCUCUGGAAGAAGUUUCUUUCGAGAGAGUUUUUUCCUGCCGAAGACAAGUUGGAUUGAAGCAUUUGGGUCUGCUUCAAAGGUCAGUAGAGUGUCUGACUUAGACACUGCUAUGAUGCAGCUUGAGGUACCAUUUUUUCCACCUUUAGAUAAUCAUUUUUAGAUCUAACAUU